rnacentral:tRNA from 1 species
GGGCGUGUAGUUAAGUGGUAUAACGUUCGCUUGGCAUGCGAAAGGCCGCGGGUUCAAUUCCCGCCACGUCCACCA